rnacentral:rRNA from 1 species
ACCCGCUGAAUUUAAGCAUAUUAAUAAGCGGAGGAAAAGAAACUAACCAGGAUUCCCCUAGUAACGGCGAGUGAAACGGGAACAGCGCAAAUUUGAAAUCUGGGCUCUUCGAGCUCCGAGUUGUAAUUUAUGGAGUGUGCAUCAUAGUCGUUUCAUCAUUUCUCAAAUGCUAUUGGAACAUUCUGCCAGAGAGGGUGAUAGCCCCGUAUGCAGGAAUGAUUUUUUAUUGAAAUGGCAACAAUUGUUGUGCUCUUUGAGAGUCGGGUUGCUUGGGAUUGCAGCCUAAAAUGCGUGUUAAAUCUCACGUAACGCUAAAUAUUGACGAGAGACCGAUAGCGAACAAGUAGUGUGAACGAAAGAAGAAAAGAACUUUGAAAAGAGAGUGAAAAGUCCUUGAAAUUGUUAAAAGGGAACCGCUUAAAACCAGUCUUUGAUUACUUAUUUCAGUCAAUAAGUAUCUUUGUUUUUGUUCCAUUAUCCUCCUGGAUGGUGUUACUCAAAAGCAGAGAUAGGUUAAUAUCAAUUCAUUAUGAAGGAAAAGUCUGUCAAAGAAGGUGGGAUUGGCUUCUUGUUUAUUCAAGUUCUAAUCUUCAAGACUUUGAUUGGUGCUACUUGAUGAUGGAUUGAGGACUAUUGCAGCAGUUGGUUUUGUUGACGUUUGUAUGGUAUGAUAUAUGAUACUAGGAGAAAUCCUUCUAUUGUAUUGAGUAGUGUGCACCUGUUUGAUAGAAUGAUUGUUGUGAGGAUAUUAACACAAUGGUUUUAAUCGACCCGUCUUGAAACACGGACCAAGGAGUCUAACAAAUAUGCAAGUAUGAAGGUGACAGCUUUUUCAUGUAUUAAACCCUUUGGAUGCACAAUGAAAGUAAAGAUAGCUCUUCGGAGCUAUUCAAGUGGGAUCUCAUACUAUUUCGGUAGUGUGAUGAGCACCAUUGACCGAUCAGGAUAGAGAGAGCAAUCUCUUUGAAAGAUUUGAGUAAGAGCAUAUCUGUUGGGACCCGAAAGAUGGUGAACUAUGGGUGAGUAGGGCGAAGUCAGAGGAAACUCUGAUGGAGGCUCGAAGCGAUGCUGACGUGCAAAUCGCUCGUCAAACUUGCCUAUAGGGGCGAAAGACUAAUCGAACCAUCUAGUAGCUGGUUCCCUCCGAAGUUUCCCUCAGGAUAGCAGGAGUUAUGUAAUAAACAGUUAUGUCUGGUAAAGCGAAUGAUUAGAGGUCCUGGGGAAGAAACUUCCUCAACCUAUUCUCAAACUUUAAAUAGGCAUGAUAUUCAUGUUGCUUUAAUGAUUCUUGAACAUGAAUUUUUGAAUGGCAAACUCCUAGUGGGCCAUUCCUGGUAAGCAGGACUGGCGAUGUGGGAUGAACCAAACGUUGAGUUAAAGUGCCAGAAUGUACACUCAUAUAGAUACCAGAAAAGGUGUUGGUUGAUACAGACAGAAGGACGGUGGCCAUGGAAGUUGGAAUCCGCUAAGGAGUGUGUAACAACUCACCUUCCGAAUCAACUAGCCCUGAAAAUGGAUGGCGCUAAAGUGUACUACUUAUACUCAACCUUCUAGUCAAAUUAACUUUACGAUUAGAAGAGUAGGAGGGCGUGGAGUUUUCUGUAGAAGCCUAUGAGCGUGAGCUUGGGUGGAAGAAACUCUAGUGCAGAUCUUGGUGGUAG